rnacentral:tRNA from 1 species
GGUCUCAUCGUCUAGUGGUAGGAUAGUCGUUUCGGGCUCCUCGGAACCUCGCUGAACUGAAGCGAUAAUAACCAGUCUUAUGGCUGACCCGGGUUCGAAUCCCGGUGAGACCC